rnacentral:rRNA from 1 species
AAACAUCUCCUUUUGAUUUAAUUUAAGGUUUGACCUGCCCAAUGAUUUUUUAAUGGCCGCGGUAUUUUGACCGUGCAAAGGUAGCAUAAUCAUUAGUCUAUUAAUUUGUAGACUGGUAUGAAUGGUUGGACGAAAUAUUGACUGUCUCAGUAUAAUUUAUAUUUAAUUUGAAUUUUUAGUUAAAAUGCUUUAAUUUUUUUAUAGGACGAUAAGACCCUAUAGAUCUUUAUUUAUUUAUUUAUUUAUUUAUUUUAGAUUAUGUUUUAAUAAUAGGUGUAUAUAUUUUGUUGGGGUGACAUGGGGAUAUUAUUAACUCUUUAUUUUUGUAUACAAUGAUUUUUGUAAAAUUGACCUUUUUAUAUUGUUAUAAGAUAAGAUACCUUAGGGAUAACAGCGUAAUUCUUUUUGAGAGUUCAUAUCGACAAGGGAGAUUGCGACCUCGAUGUUGGAUUAAGGAUUAUAUUUGGGUGUAGAUACUUAAAUAUUAGGUCUGUUCGACCUUUAAAUUCUUACAUGAUCUG